AGUGGCACUAUGUUUUAUCUCGAGUGAGGAAGAGCCAUGGUAAUCAGUCUCACUGUGACUACUGUCACGGAUUCUACCCUGAGGCGCUGUGAAGCAAUAAAACUCUUGCAUUGGAAGCGGAUGCCUUUAUGGUUCUUGUGAAAGAUUUAAGGAACAGUUCAGAAUGGAAGACUAAGGACUUUGCACAUCGUGACCCUAAAAGAGGAGGAAAGAUUUUUCAGCUCAUCUCUGUUGGUGGGUGGACUACUUCUUUGAGUGGACUAUCUAUGCCAUCUAGAAAAGGGAAAAAACCUACAGCUACUAUUUUGGUACGUGCAAUGCAGAAAUGUUGUCAUUUUGUGCUUCCUACUGAUGCUAAAGUUUAUGUAAAAGGAAAUCAGCUAGCUAUAUUUCCCAGCAAGAUCAUAUGAGUUAUAUAAUUUUCACAUAGAUCUUGAGCUAAAACAGAAAUCUUGUGAAUUAAUGUUUGCUACAAUUAAGAUACAGUGGACACUUUCCAGUGGGAAAAAAAUAAAAAACAUAUUAAGGUCUGUCAAGACUCCAUAACGUCUAGGCAUGACGUUCAGACUGAACUAACCAGGUUAUCUUUGCUCAAACAAAGGCUUUUUGAACUUCUUCAGGCAGGAUGGUAACAGAGAAAAGAUGGCUUUUACUCCUGAACACAAUGUCUAGUUUACUGACCCUAAACUGUAGUA